rnacentral:rRNA from 1 species
UGGGGAAUAUUGCACAAUGGAGGGAACUCUGAUGCAGCGAUGCCGCGUGAGGGAAGAAGGUUUUCGGAUUGUAAACCUCUGUCUUAAGGGACGAUAAUGACGGUACCUUAGGAGGAAGCUCCGGCUAACUACGUGCCAGCAGCCGCGGUAAUACGUAGGGAGCGAGCGUUGUCCGGAAUUACUGGGUGUAAAGGGAGUGUAGGCGGGAUGGUAAGUUAGGUGUGAAAUGCGGAGGCUCAACCUCCGAGCUGCACUUAAAACUGCUGUUCUUGAGUGAAGUAGAGGCAGGCGGAAUUCCCAGUGUAGCGGUGAAAUGCGUAGAUAUUGGGAGGAACAUCAGUGGCGAAGGCGGCCUGCUGGGCUUUUACUGACGCUGAGGCUCGAAAGCGUGGGGAGCAAACAGG